UGGGGAAUUUUGGACAAUGGGCGAAAGCCUGAUCCAGCAAUGCCGCGUGUGUGAAGAAGGCCUUCGGGUUGUAAAGCACUUUUGUCCGGAAAGAAAUCCUUGGCUCUAAUACAGUCGGGGGAUGACGGUACCGGAAGAAUAAGCACCGGCUAACUACGUGCCAGCAGCCGCGGUAAUACGUAGGGUGCAAGCGUUAAUCGGAAUUACUGGGCGUAAAGCGUGCGCAGGCGGUUUGCUAAGACCGAUGUGAAAUCCCCGGGCUCAACCUGGGAACUGCAUUGGUGACUGGCAGGCUAGAGUAUGGCAGAGGGGGGUAGAAUUCCACGUGUAGCAGUGAAAUGCGUAGAGAUGUGGAGGAAUACCGAUGGCGAAGGCAGCCCCCUGGGCCAAUACUGACGCUCAUGCACGAAAGCGUGGGGAGCAAAACAGGAUUAGAUACCCUGGUAGUCCACGCCCUAAACGAUGUCAACUAGUUGUGGGGAUUCAUUCCUUAGUAACGUAGCUAACGCGUGAAGUUGACCGCCUGGGGAGUACGGUCGCAAGAUUAAAACUCAAAGGAAUUGACGGGGUCAUAGCUG
rnacentral:rRNA from 1 species